rnacentral:lncRNA from 1 species
UGAUAUAGCUCCCAAUUUAAAUUAACUACCUCUCCUUUUUGAUUUAUGAACAGGAAAAAAGCUUUGACUGUUAGGCACCUGGAUGAAGAGGCUUGGGUUCACAUUAUCAUUCUCCAGUAACCUGGAAGGACCCUCCAGUUGUGCCAGAAUCAUUCAACUGAAGUAUACAUGAAAAUACAGAUACUGUAGUGCUUUUCAGAAGUCUUUAGAAAUUGUGAAAUCCAUCUGAGCAAAUCUUACCAGCCUUCUACCCUGAGGGUAAGUAGAUUGCCUUGAAUUAGGUCCUGGUUCAACUUUGGGGGGAUAUAGCUCUCCAGAUGUUGUG